GGGUCCUGGGGCUCUUUAACAUAGCUCAGCCGCUUUCUAGAUGUGGAGUCUUUGGUCAGCUCCUUACUCUCCCUGAUCUUGGCUGACUGAUUUAUAAACUAGGAUUUAUAAUUACUGCACGGAGGUGAUUAAACAAAUUGUCUUUUAAGCACCUAUCACAGGGCUAAUUCCUAGUAGAUGCUCAAUAAAUGGCCACGAGAGUGUUGGUGCCGAUGGUAAGUAGGGAUUGGUGGUAAGCAGGAUGGCUGCCCGAGAGUGUGAGCUGGGCGGAGCUCAGGUUGGCUCCUUCUUGCAUCAAGCUGCCCACUAGGCUUGCACAUCCUUGAUGUGGGCAACACCCACAGACUGCACAAGCUGUCCCAUAAGGUUCAGAUGCCCAGACAACAAGAUUCGGUUCGAGCCCUGUGGGGUGAUGCAUUCCAGAGACCACACUUCCUUUAGGGAGGCUCAGAAUUUGCAUGGGGCCACAGCAAACGCC
rnacentral:lncRNA from 1 species